rnacentral:rRNA from 1 species
CGUAGGCAGCGAGCGUUGUUCGGAGUUACUGGGCGUAAAGGGUGUGUAGGCGGUUGUUUAAGUUUGGUGUGAAAUCUCCCGGCUCAACUGGGAGGGUGCGCCGAAUACUGAAUAACUAGAGUGCGGGAGAGGUGAGUGGAAUUCCUGGUGUAGCGGUGAAAUGCGUAGAUAUCAGGAGGAACACCGGUGGUGUAGACGGCUCACUGGACCGUAACUGACGCUGAGACACGAAAGCGUGGGUAGCAAACAGGAUUAGAUACCCUGGUAGUCCACGCCCUAAACGAUGCAUAUUUGGUGUGGGCAGUUCAUUCUGUCCGUGCCGGAGCUAACGCGUUAAAUAUGCCGCCUGGGGAGUACAGUCGCAAGGCUG